UGUUGCUCAUGAUUUGUGGAGACAAAGGAGGACAUCGACCACGCUCCCUUCCCUUGAAACACACACUGAGUCUCAGACCAUGUGCCUCCACAAGCAGAAAUAAGCUGAUGGGCAAAACAGAGUGGGCCCUCGCUUCGCUUCGCUGUGGCUCUCAGAAGCCUUACCUGCUUCAGGUUCCACGGCAUCUGCACGGACCUGUGAUCCGGGAUAAACGGGGAGAUGGCGAUCUUUCUAAGUUUGGUAGUUUUCUUUUUAAGCCUAAAUUCUCUUUCCCAUUAAAGUGGCUUGUUUUACCUAA
rnacentral:lncRNA from 1 species